CCUACGGGUGGCAGCAGUGAGGAAUAUUGGUCAAUGGACGAGAGUCUGAACCAGCCAAGUAGCGUGAAGGAUGACUGCCCUAUGGGUUGUAAACUUCUUUUAUAAAGGACUAAAACGAGGCACGUGUGCCUUCUUGCUUGUACUUUAUGAAUAAGGAUCGGCUAACUUCGUGCCAGCAGCCGCGGUCAUACGGAGGAUCCGAGCGUUAUCCGGAUUUAUUGGGUUUAAAGGGAGCGUAGAUGGGUUGUUAAGUCAGUUGUGAAAGUUUGCGGCUCAACCGUAAAAUUGCAAUUGAUACUGGGAGUCUUGAGUACAGUUGAGGUAGGCGGAAUUCGUGGUGUAGCGGUGAAAUGCUUAGAUAUCACGAAGAACCCCGAUUGCGAAGGCAGCUUACUAAACUGUGACUGACAUUGAUGCUCGAAAGUGUGGGUAUCAAACAGGAUUAGAUACCCUUGUAGUC
rnacentral:rRNA from 1 species